rnacentral:rRNA from 1 species
ACUCCUACGGGAGGCAGCAGUAGGGAAUUUUUCACAAUGGACGAAAGUCUGAUGAAGCAAUACCGCGUGAGGGAAGACGGUUUUAGGACUGUAAACCUCUGUUAUAAGGGAAGAAUAUGUCGGAGAGGAAAUGCUCCGUGCAGUGACGGUACUUUAUUAGAAAGUCACGGCUAACUAUGUGCCAGCAGCCGCGGUAAUACAUAGGUGGCAAGCGUUAUCCGGAUUUAUUGGGCGUAAAGAGUGCACAGGUGGUUAUAUAAGUUUGAUGUUAAAGACCGAAGCUCAACUUCGGUUCGCAUUGAAAACUGUAUAACUAGAAUGCAGGUGGGAAUAGUGGAAUUCGAUGUGUAGCGGUGGAAUGCAUAAAUAUAUCGAGGAACACCAGUGGCGAAGGCGGCUAUUUGAACUGUAAUUGACACUUAAGCACGAAAGCGUGGGGAGCAAAUAGGAUUAGAUACCCUAGUAGUCCACGCCGUAAACGAUCUAGAUUAGAUGUCGGAAUUAUUCGGUAUCGCAGCUAACGCAUUAAAUCUAGCGCCUGGGUAGUACGCACGCAAGUGUAAAACUCAAAGGAAUUGACGGGGACCCGCACAAGUGGUGGAGCAUGUGGUUUAAUUCGAUGAUACGCGAAAAACCUUACCUACGCUUGACAUACUUGGCAAAACUAUAGAGAUAUAGUCGAGGUUAACCAAUGUACAGGUGGUGCAUGGUUGUCGUCAGCUCGUGUCGUGAGAUGUUUGGUUAAGUCCAGCAACGAGCGCAACCCCUAUCCUAUGUUACCAGCAUUAAGUUGGGGACUCAUGGGAGACUGCUAGGGUAACCUAGAGGAAGGUGGGGAUGACGUCAAAUCAUCAUGCCCCUUAUGCGUAGGGCUACACACGUGCUACAAUGGUACAUACAAAGUGCUGCAAACCCCGUGAGGGUAAGCGAAUCACAAAAAAAAAUGUAUUCUCA